rnacentral:rRNA from 1 species
GACGAACGCUGGCGGCGUGCCUAACACAUGCAAGUCGAACGAAGCUUUUGAUUUCGGUUGAGAGCUUAGUGGCGGACGGGUGAGUAACGCGUGAGUAACCUGCCUUACAGAGGGGGAUAACGUCUGGAAACGGACGCUAAUACCGCAUGACAUUUCUUUAUCACAUGGUAAAGAAAUCAAAGGAGCAAUCCGCUGUAAGAUGGACUCGCGUCCGAUUAGCUAGAUGGUGAGAUAACAGCCCACCAUGGCGACGAUCGGUAGCCGGACUGAGAGGUUGAACGGCCACAUUGGGACUGAGACACGGCCCAGACUCCUACGGGAGGCAGCAGUGGGGGAUAUUGCACAAUGGAGGAAACUCUGAUGCAGCAACGCCGCGUGAAGGAUGAAGGUCUUCGGAUUGUAAACUUUUGUACUUGGGGACGAUAAUGACGGUACCCAAGCAGCAAGCUCCGGCUAACUACGUGCCAGCAG